rnacentral:rRNA from 1 species
UGGUUGGGGAUGGGCUCGCGGCCUAUCAGCUUGUUGGUGAGGUAAUGGCUCACCAAGGCGUCGACGGGUAGCCGGCCUGAGAGGGUGACCGGCCACACUGGGACUGAGACACGGCCCAGACUCCUACGGGAGGCAGCAGUGGGGAAUAUUGCACAAUGGGCGAAAGCCUGAUGCAGCAACGCCGCGUGAGGGAUGACGGCCUUCGGGUUGUAAACCUCUUUUAGCAGGGAAGAAGCGAAAGUGACGGUACCUGCAGAAAAAGCGCCGGCUAACUACGUGCCAGCAGCCGCGGUAAUACGUAGGGCGCAAGCGUUAUCCGGAAUUAUUGGGCGUAAAGAGCUCGUAGGCGGUUUGCCGCGUCUGCUGUGAAAUCCCGAGGCUCAACCUCGGGCCUGCAGUGGGUACGGGCAGACUAGAGUGCGGUAGGGGAGAUUGGAAUUCCUGGUGUAGCGGUGGAAUGCGCAGAUAUCAGGAGGAACACCGAUGGCGAAGGCAGAUCUCUGGGCCGUAACUGACGCUGAGGAGCGAAAGGGUGGGGAGCAAACAGGCUUAGAUACCCUGGUAGUCCACCCCGUAAACGUUGGGAACUAGUUGUGGGGUCCAUUCCACGGAUUCCGUGACGCAGCUAACGCAUUAAGUUCCCCGCCUGGGGAGUACGGCCGCAAGGCUAAAACUCAAAGGAAUUGACGGGGACCCGCACAAGCGGCGGAGCAUGCGGAUUAAUUCGAUGCAACGCGAAGAACCUUACCAAGGCUUGACAUAUACGAGAACGGGCCAGAAAUGGUCAACUCUUUGGACACUCGUAAACAGGUGGUGCAUGGUUGUCGUCAGCUCGUGUCGUGAGAUGUUGGGUUAAGUCCCGCAACGAGCGCAACCCUCGUUCUAUGUUGCCAGCACGUAAUGGUGGGAACUCAUGGGAUACUGCCGGGGUCAACUCGGAGGAAGGUGGGGAUGACGUCAAAUCAUCAUGCCCCUUAUGU